rnacentral:rRNA from 1 species
ACAGAGGGUGCAAGCGUUAAUCGGAUUUACUGGGCGUAAAGCGUGAGUAGGUGGCUUCCUAAGUCGGUUGUGAAAUCCCUGGGCUCAACCUGGGAAUUGCAGUCGAUACUGGGAAGCUCGAGUUCGGUAGAGGGUGACGGAAUUCCCGGUGUAGCGGUGAAAUGCGUAGAUAUCUGGAGGAAUACCGGUGGCGAAGGCGGCAUCCUGGACCAUUACUGACGCUGAGGCGCGAAAGCUAGGGGAGCAAACGGGA